rnacentral:rRNA from 1 species
GAUGAACGCUGGCGGCGUGCCUAAUACAUGCAAGUCGAGCGAACAGACGAGGAGCUUGCUCCUCUGACGUUAGCGGCGGACGGGUGAGUAACACGUGGAUAACCUACCUAUAAGACUGGGAUAACUUCGGGAAACCGGAGCUAAUACCGGAUAAUAUAUUGAACCGCAUGGUUCAAUAGUGAAAGACGGUUUUGCUGUCACUUAUAGAUGGAUCCGCGCCGCAUUAGCUAGUUGGUAAGGUAACGGCUUACCAAGGCAACGAUGCGUAGCCGACCUGAGAGGGUGAUCGGCCACACUGGAACUGAGACACGGUCCAGACUCCUACGGGAGGCAGCAGGAGGGAAUCUUCCGCAAUGGGCGAAAGCUUGACGGAGCAACGCCGCGGGAGUGAUGAAGGUCUUCGGAUCGUAAAACUCUGUUAUUAGGGAAGAACAAAUGUGUAAGUAACUAUGCACGUCUUGACGGUACCUAAGCAGAAAGCCACGGCUAACUACGU